UACGGGGGGGGCAAGCGUUGUUCGGAAUUACUGGGCGUAAAGGGCGUGCAGGCGGUUUGUUUAGUCUAGGGUGAAAGCUCCCGGCUUAACUGGGAGAGGUCCUUGGAUACUGGCAAACUUGAGGGAGGCAGAGGAAAGUGGAAUUCCCGGUGUAGUGGUGAUAUGCGUAGAUAUCGGGAGGAACACCAGUGGCGAAGGCGGCUUUCUGGGCCUUACCUGACGCUGAGGUGCGAAAGCGUGGGGAGCAAACAGG
rnacentral:rRNA from 1 species